UGCCUUCAACAGCGUGGUGGUUAUUUGCA
rnacentral:piRNA from 1 species